GACGAACGCUGGCGGCGUGCCUAAUACAUGCAAGUCGAACGCAGUGGGGGCGGGUGAGUAACACGUGGCUAACCUCCCAUCAGAGGGGAUAACCCUUGGAAACAGGUGCUAAACCGCUACUGGUGGAUGGAGCCGCGGUGGAUUAGCUAGUUGGUGGGGUAACGGCUCACCAAGGCAACGAUGCAUAGACGACCUGAGAGGGUGAUCGGCCACACUGGGACUGAGACACGGCCCAGACUCCUACGGGAGGCAGCAGUGGGGAAUAUUGGGCAAUGGGCGAAAGCCUGACGGAGCAACGCCGCGUGAGUGAAGAAGGUUUUCGGGUCGUAAAACACUGUUGGUAGAGAAGCGGUAUCUAAACAGAAAGCAACGGCUAACUACGUGCCAGCAGCCGCGGUAAUAC
rnacentral:rRNA from 1 species